CCUGUGAGGGUUGCUGGAGGUAUCAGAAGUGCGAAUGCUGACAUAAGUAACGAUAAAGCGGGUGAAAAGCCCGCUCGCCGGAAGACCAAGGGUUCCUGUCCAACGUUAAUCGGGGCAGGGUGAGUCGACCCCUAAGGCGAGGCCGAAAGGCGUAGUCGAUGGGAAACGGGUUAAUAUUCCCGUACUUGGUGUUACUGCGAAGGGGGGACGGAGAAGGCUAUGUUGGCCGGGCGACGGUUGUCCCGGUUUAAGCGUGUAGGUGUGUGUUCCAGGUAAAUCCGGUUCACUUUAACACUGAGGCGUGAUGACGAGGCACUACGGUGCUGAAGCAACAAAUGCCCUGCUUCCAGGAAAAGCCUCUAAGCAUCAGGUAACAUCAAAUCGUACCCCAAACCGACACAGGUGGUCAGGUAGAGAAUACCAAGGCGCUUGAGAGAACUCGGGUGAAGGAACUAGGCAAAAUGGUGCCGUAACUUCGGGAGAAGGCACGCUGACACGUAGGUGAAGUGAUUUACUCACGGAGCUGAAGUCAGUCGAAGAUACCAGCUGGCUGCAACUGUUUAUUAAAAACACAGCACUGUGCAAACACGAAAGUGGACGUAUACGGUGUGACGCCUGCCCGGUGCCGGAAGGUUAAUUGAUGGGGUCAGCGCAAGCGAAGCUCCUGAUCGAAGCCCCGGUAAACGGCGGCCGUAACUAUAACGGUCCUAAGGUAGCGAAAUUCCUUGUCGGGUAAGUUCCGACCUGCACGAAUGGCGUAAUGAUGGCCAGGCUGUCUCCACCCGAGACUCAGUGAAAUUGAACUCGCUGUGAAGAUGCAGUGUACCCGCGGCAAGACGGAAAGACCCCGUGAACCUUUACUAUAGCUUGACACUGAACAUUGAGCCUUGAUGUGUAGGAUAGGUGGGAGGCUUUGAAGCGUGGACGCCAGUCUGCGUGGAGCCGACCUUGAAAUACCACCCUUUAAUGUUUGAUGUUCUAACGUGGACCCGUUAUCCGGGUUGCGGACAGUGUCUGGUGGGUAGUUUGACUGGGGCGGUCUCCUCCUAAAGAGUAACGGAGGAGCACGAAGGUUGGCUAAUCCUGGUCGGACAUCAGGAGGUUAGUGCAAUGGCAUAAGCCAGCUUGACUGCGAGCGUGACGGCGCGAGCAGGUGCGAAAGCAGGUCAUAGUGAUCCGGUGGUUCUGAAUGGAAGGGCCAUCGCUCAACGGAUAAAAGGUACUCCGGGGAUAACAGGCUGAUACCGCCCAAGAGUUCAUAUCGACGGCGGUGUUUGGCACCUCGAUGUCGGCUCAUCACAUCCUGGGGCUGAAGUAGGUCCCAAGGGUAUGGCUGUUCGCCAUUUAAAGUGGUACGCGAGCUGGGUUUAGAACGUCGUGAGACAGUUCGGUCCCUAUCUGCCGUGGGCGCUGGAGAACUGAGGGGGGCUGCUCCUAGUACGAGAGGACCGGAGUGGACGCAUCACUGGUGUUCGGGUUGUCAUGCCAAUGGCACUGCCCGGUAGCUAAAUGCGGAAGAGAUAAGUGCUGAAAGCAUCUAAGCACGAAACUUGCCCCGAGAUGAGUUCUCCCUGAGACUUAGAGUCUCCUGAAGGAACGUUGAAGACGACGACGUUGAUAGGCCGGGUGUGUAAGCGCAGCGAUGCGUUGAGCUAACCGGUACUAAUGAACCGU
rnacentral:rRNA from 1 species